ensembl:miRNA
GGGUGAGGUAGUAGGUUAUGUAGUUGUGCGGACAGGGAUGUUGUCCAGCAAAAGGAGAUAACUAUACAACCUACUGCCUUUCCC